AUUCACUCUACUGGAGUUUCCCACAUGAGCACAGGUUAUGGGCAUGGGAUUGGAAAGACAAAUGUUGUUAUAACCUCCACCCACUGGAAUCUGGUUGUUGAUUUAGUUAACACAUCCUCUGGCUAUUUGAACUGGUCACUCAAGAAGUCAACAGUUCUAUAAUCAAGUUAAGAGAUUGUCUCAACUUCAUAUCCCAGUCCAACCAUUAUGUAUCUCUGGAAUCAAUACUCAUCAGCAUAUUUAAGAGAAGGACCCUCUAACUCCCAUACGGAAAUAUUAGCAAUUACUUCCCAUUUUAAGUGAAAAGUGAAAUCUCAUACUAUUACUUUGUGCUACGGAUCCUUAAAAGGCUUACUUCACUGGGCUCCUCUGUAACGUCCAGUUUACGGAACUGCCAGUUGGUAAAGUUAUGGGCCACAGAGAUGGAAAAGCUACCAAUACUUUUUUCUAAAACAGCUAAGAGUCUUUAAAAAAAAGCUUAAUGUCUUUGUGUGAUGAAGAGAUUUGACGCAACACAAUUCCUUUGUUUGUAACAACACAGUUGUAACAAAAUGGAUGCUGAUUUCAUUUUUUUUAUAUUAUGUGGAGGUAAGUAUACGUUGCAAAAGAAUAUUCUUGCACUACCAUGUUUUUCUCAGAGUUUGUUUCACAGCAACCAUUGUCUUACAUUCAGAUGAAAACUGUCUUGAACCAAACAAAUAUACAUUUUACAGUUAUUGUUCCACCAAUACAAAGAUAGAUUAAAUGCUUGACACUGAAUGUUGUUGUGUGUGCUUGCUGCCAGUAACCAAAUGCCACAGAAGAAAACAUGUCUAUUGGCACAAAGAAGUUUUGUACUUUGACAGUAGAGGGAUACACUCUCACAGGAGACUGACUUUGUUCAAAUGCACAUUUGCGCUAAUGACUUCAACUUAUGCUGCUGCUGCACUUAAGUGGUUACCUUUUUUGUGGUCUUCUGUACUCUUAGGCUUAUUUCCAGUAACUAAUAAAGACUGAGUCAUGGGAUGUACUUGGCUAGCAGAUGGAAGUAAGAAAAAGGAGGACAGAGCUAUGGCUUCCAAUGCUUUGUUUAUGAGAACAUCCUUCCUGUCAUCAAUAUCCACAUUCCAUUAACGUAUGGUUUCAAUUCUGCCUUUGCGAUGUGCUUCAAGUGCUAUACUCAAAGCAUUUAUGCUACAGUCAAACACAUUUCAUUUCAUAUUUAAUCAAGAAGGGAUAUUAUAGCAGUUCCAGUGAAAGCUCUUGAUGCUUAUUAGGCUGCUGCUCCUAAAUGUUCUUAAUAGUACUGCAAAGAUUUUAGCUUUUCCAUCAUGUAAAUGCAAAUUCAGCCUCUGAUAAAAUAUUAUGGAUAGUACACGUGGAAAAUAAGAUGUGCUCCAAAAUGGUUGCAGUUUUAGCUAUUACCUUGUUUAAAAUUUGCAUGACUUAAACCAGUAUUCUGUCAAAAAUAAUAAUAAUCUGAAAUAGCAGUAAUUGGGAAAACCUAAAAGGAAACAACUAAUAAUAAAUCAAAUCCCCUACAUAUUUAUUUUUAUUUCCAUGUCGUAUAUACUCUAUCCUGGUUCAAAACCUGAAAAGAGUCAUAAGAAAACAUUUGAAGUAUGAACUGAAAUUGCAAUGGAACUGAGGAAAUAAUUAAGAAGAUAUUUGAAAAUUAUGAGCAGCACUAUCUUGAGUUCUCAACAGUCAGCUCAACAGCUCUCCAGGGCAUGGUCUAGGUUAGCUAGAACACCAUUAAUUCUGAUUCAAGUGUACAUAAUUUAUAUGAAGAAAACUUUAUACAGUUACAUAAAUAUUGGUGUCUCAAUUGUUCACACUAAAUGUCUGAAGAGUUAAUCUUCAUUCACCUGGAGAUUUCUUCCACUUGGGUUAGCAAAGGAAUGCCUGCAUAAUACUAGUUACAUUUACGUAGACAGCCAAGAAAACAGGCAAAUUUUACAGCUGAUAUUAACUCCCUAUAUUAAGAUGCUCUCUGAUCAAGUAGGCUCAGACAUCUCUACAGAGCAUAGAUGUGUGUGUAUAUAUAUGUAAUAUAUAAUGUUGUAAUAUGUAACUGCAAAUAAGAGUUGA